rnacentral:rRNA from 1 species
AUACGGGGGGUCCGAACGUUAAUCGGAAUUACUGGGCGUAAAGCGCGCGUAGGCGGUUCGGUAAGUGGGAUGUGAAAGCCCCGGGCUCAACCUGGGAAUUGCAUUCCAUACUGCCGGACUAGAGUAUGGUAGAGGGAGGUAGAAUUUCCUGUGUAGCGGUGAAAUGCGUAGAUAUAGGAAGGAAUACCGGUGGCGAAGGCGGCCUCCUGGACCAAUACUGACGCUGAGGUGCGAAAGCGUGGGGAGCAAACAGGAUUAGAUACCCCAGUAGUCC